rnacentral:rRNA from 1 species
AUGAACGCUGGCGGCGUGCCUAAUCCAUGCAAGUCGAGCGAACAGAUGAGGAGCUUGCUCCUCUGACGUUAGCGGCGGACGGGUGAGUAACACGUGGAUAACCUACCUAUAAGACUGGGAUAACUUCGGGAAACCGGAGCUAAUACCGGAUAAUAUAUUGAACCGCAUGGUUCAAUAGUGAAAGACGGUUUUGCUGUCACUUAUAGAUGGAUCCGCGCCGCAUUAGCUAGUUGGUAAGGUAACGGCUUACCAAGGCAACGAUGCGUAGCCGACCUGAGAGGGUGAUCGGCCACACUGGAACUGAGACACGGUCCAGACUCCUACGGGAGGCAGCAGUAGGGAAUCUUCCGCAAUGGGCGAAAGCCUGACAGAGCAACGCCGCGUGAGUGAUGAAGGUCUUCGGAUCGUAAAACUCUGUUAUUAGGGAAGAACAAAUGUGUAAGUAACUAUGCACGUCUUGACGGUACCUAAUCAGAAAGCCACGGCUAACUACGUG